GGGAAUCUACCCAGAUCUACGGAACAACAGAGGGAAACUUCUGCUAAUACCGUAUACGCCCUACGGGGGAAAGAUUUAUCGGAUUUGGAUGAGCCCGCGUAAGAUUAGCUAGUUGGUGAGGUAAUGGCUCACCAAGGCGACGAUCUUUAGCUGGUCUGAGAGGAUGAUCAGCCACACUGGGACUGAGACACGGCCCAGACUCCUACGGGAGGCAGCAGAGGGGAAUAUUGGACAAUGGGCGCAAGCCUGAUCCAGCCAUGCCGCGUGAGUGAUGAAGGCCUUAGGGUUGUAAAGCUCUUUCAGUGGGGAAGAUAAUGACGGUACCCACAGAAGAAGCCCCGGCUAACUUCGUGCCAGCAGCCGCGGUAAUACGAAGGGGGCUAGCGUUGUUCGGAUUUACUGGGCGUAAAGCGCACGUAGGCGGUUUGUUAAGUCAGAGGUGAAAUCCUGGAGCUCAACUCCAGAACUGCCUUUGAUACUGGCAAGCUCGAGUCCGGAAGAGGUAAGUGGAACUCCUAGU
rnacentral:rRNA from 1 species